GGGGACUUCUGUUGACGGGCGCCCCCUGACCCCUUGUGCUAACCGCUAGUAGCUUAUGUGCUAACUGCGAUAGCACGCGCUCAAUCGUUAGCUCUACUCGGAGCUAACGCGUUAGCGUGUGCAAACUCACUGUUAUUGGCUUACAUUUCUUCUAUUUGACGCAUAGCCUUCGGACAAGCGUGGGAAUCUUUACACCGCUGUCUACUUUCUUAUCAACACCCCCGCCGGACGCACACAACGCACGCGCGCUCGUGUUGUGGAGGUGCCGGGAGUUGAACCCGGAUCCAGCGGAUUAUUGCAUUGCCACUUGUUUAUUGUCAUAGCUAAGUUAGC
rnacentral:tmRNA from 1 species